rnacentral:rRNA from 1 species
AUGUGGUUUAAUUCGAAGCAACGCGAAGAACCUUACCAGGUCUUGACAUCCUUUGACCACUCUAGAGAUAGAGCUUCCCCUUCGGGGCAAAGUGACAGGUGGUGCAUGGUUGUCGUCAGCUCGUGUCGUGAGAUGUUGGGUUAAGUCCCGCAACGAGCGCAACCCUUAUUGUUAGUUGCCAUCAUUCAGUUGGGCACUCUAGCAAGACUGCCGGUGACAAACCGGAGGAAGGUGGGGAUGAC